rnacentral:rRNA from 1 species
GAUGAACGCUGGCGGCGUGCUUAACACAUGCAAGUCGAACGGAAAGGCUCCUGCUUGCAGGGGUACUCGAGUGGCGAACGGGUGAGUAACACGUGGGUGAUCUGCCCUGCACUUCGGGAUAAGCCUGGGAAACUGGGUCUAAUACCGGAUAGGACGAUGGUUUGGAUGCCAUUGUGGAAAGUUUUUCGGUGUGGGAUGAGCUCGCGGCCUAUCAGCUUGUUGGUGGGGUAAUGGCCUACCAAGGCGUCGACGGGUAGCCGGCCUGAGAGGGUGUACGGCCACAUUGGGACUGAGAUACGGCCCAGACUCCUACGGGAGGCAGCGGUGGGGAAUAUUGCACAAUGGGCGCAAGCCUGAUGCAGCGACGCCGCGUGGGGGAUGACGGCCUUCGGGUUGUAAACUCCUUUCGCUAGGGACGAAGCGCAAGUGACGGUACCUAGAGAAGAAGCACCGGCUAACUACGUG